GACGAACGCUGGCGGCGUGCCUAAUACAUGCAAGUCGAACGCAGUGGGGACGGGUGAGUAACACGUGGGUAACCUCCCAUCAGAGGGGAUACAACUUGGAAAAAGGUGCUAAACCGAUACUGAUGGAUGCACACGCGGUGCAUUAGCUAGUUGGUGAGGUAACGGCUCACCAAGGCCACGAUGCAUAGCCGCCCUGAGAGGGGGAUCAGCAACACUGGAACUGAGACACGGCCCAGACUCCUACGGUAGGCAGCAGUCGGGAAUCUUCGGCAAUGGACGAAAGUCUGACCGAGCAACGCCGCGUGAGUGAAGAAGGUUUUCGGAUCGUAAAACUCUGUUGUUAGAGAAGCGGUAUCUAACCAGAAAGCCACGGCUAACUACGUGCCAGCAGCCGCGGUAAUUG
rnacentral:rRNA from 1 species